CAGCAAGAAAUGAAAGCCGUGAAUUCUACAGGUAUCUCAGAGUCUGGAAUUCUUUAGAAGGGGUUCACAUGAGACACCGAGGGACUGGUGGCUGCGAUCCUCAACGGUGUCAUUUUUAUACAGGAGCCAAAGAAAAACCUCGAGUGGAGACGAUGAGGUGGACAGGCACCAAGAUCACUGUGCAUGUGACUUUGCUGCACCGUCAGCGGACAAGAUCCAGUAUCUGAGCAGGGAGAGGAUGCGGACUCACUGCAGUUCCUCGGAAAACCCUCUCCUGUGCACAGUCUAAUGAGGCUAGCUCCGAAGCGACAUUUGAGAGGACAGUGAGCAGAGAAGGGUCAUGACCCCAGAUGGCCUCACGGCAGCCCCGACCAGAAACCUGAGGUGACUCCAGGCCACCAUGUUCCACGUUACUCGACACACACCUCCAACUCCUGCGUACCCCCAUCCAUGGCAGAGGGGCUGAAAGACUGAUAGCCUAUAUUAUUUACCAGAUUAUAAGAAACCACAGCUUCAAUUUAUUGUGUAUGAUCUGUAAUGCCAAAAACUGUUGUUUAUCCAGUAUAUCUGAUACAAAAUUUAAAUUGUUUUUUUGUUUGUUUGUUUGUUUGUUUUGGUACCGG
ensembl:lncRNA